rnacentral:rRNA from 1 species
GAUGAACGCUGGCGGCGUGCCUAAUACAUGCAAGUCGAGCGAACGGACGAGAAGCUUGCUUCUCUGAUGUUAGCGGCGGACGGGUGAGUAACACGUGGAUAACCUACCUAUAAGACUGGGAUAACUUCGGGAAACCGUAGCUAAUACCGGAUAAUAUUUUGAACCGCAUGGUUCAAAAGUGAAAGACGGUCUUGCUGUCACUUAUAGAUGGAUCCGCGCUGCAUUAGCUAGUUGGUAAGGUAACGGCUUACCAAGGCAACGAUGCAUAGCCGACCUGAGAGGGUGAUCGGCCACACUGGAACUGAGACACGGUCCAGACUCCUACGGGAGGCAGCAGUAGGGAAUCUUCCGCAAAGGGCGAAAGCCUGACGGAGCAACGCCGCGUGAGUGAUGAAGGUCUUCGGAUCGUAAAACUCUGUUAUUAGGGAAGAACAUAUGUGUAAGUAACUGUGCACAUCUUGACGGUACCUGAUCAGAAAGCCACGGCUAACUACGUG